AGUUCCUCAUUCAGCAAAGCAGGAAGUCAAAGCAGGCUGUAAUCAGUAGCUGAAGUAAGCAUGGCGUUGCCAGCCCAAAAGGAGCAGUAUGCAGUAAUUAUAGUACCGUGAUCGUGAACCUAUGGUACACAUGCCACAGGUGGCACACGGAGCCAUUUCUGUGGGCGCAUGAGCCAUUGCCGUAGAUCAGCUCCACCAUGCAUGCCUGCCAGCCAGCUGAUUUUUGGGUGUCUGCCACACAUGCAGGAGAUGCCCGCACAUGCCCAUGCCACCCCGCCCCUCCCAGGAGUCUCCAUGCGGCCUGUUUUGGAUGCCAGCUGGCCCCUCCCGUCUUUAACCGGGCCUUUUAUCAGAUUCCGAGUCUGAUAAUGAAGAUGAACAGCCUGUCAUGACUCCAGCCCCUGGCCCUGGCCCCAUGCUCAGAGAGGAUUCAAGGAGUGAAAGGAGAAGCCCAAUAAACCUCACUCAUACAGCGUGUGUUCAUUUGGCUCAACCUUCAGAUCAAGAAGCCAGCCAGGUGGUGGAAUUACCUGGGCCUACUCCCUCUGACCCCUCCCUUUCCCAGACGCUGACAGCAGAUCCAGCUGAAGACAAUUCAGAGUGGGUGGACCCUUGCUUCCGGAGAUCUGAGAGGUGACACCAGCAGAAGGAAGGGUGGGGCAGGCCUGGAUAAAUGCUGAGUCAUGGAGCCACACCCCACAGCCUAUAUAAAGGACCUGCUUUUGGCAUUCCAACCUUGAGUCAAGCAAAGUCUUAUCUAGUUACUUAUCUAGAACUAUCUAGACCCGUUCCAGUCCGGUUUCCGACCCGGAUAUAGCACGGAGACAGCUUUGGUCGCGUUGGUGGAUGAUCUCUGGAGGGCCAGAGACAGGGGUUAUUCCUCUGCUCUGGUCCUAUUAGACCUCUCAGCGGCUUUCGAUACCAUCGACCAUGGUAUCCUGCUGCACCGGUUGGAGGGAUUGGGAGUGGGAGGCACCGUUUAUCGGUGGUUCUCCUCCUAUCUCUCCGACCGGUCGCAGACGGUGUUGACAG